rnacentral:lncRNA from 1 species
UACCAGGAAAUAACUUUCAAAAAAUUGAAAAUAUCUAAGUUCUUUCUGAAUCAAGACCUAUAUGCCAAAAUCUAGAAUUAUACCCAGCUAAAGUCUAUAAUAAAAACUCACAAAAAUUCUGGCCAUACUUACCAUGAAAAAUACCAAAAAAUUUAGAAAUCCUAAUAAAACUACCUUUGAAUCUUAGAACUUCUAAGUUAGAAUUUCAAGAAUUUGUUGUAUCUCAAAAUGUGCUUAUCUUCCAUACUAAAACACCCCCUUAUUCUAAUAUCUAUGAUAAAAUAAAAGAAUCUAACAAACUUUUAAAGCUCCUCUCACUUAAAGAAAGUAAUAAAAAAAUUCUUAAUUAUGAUUCCAACCAAAACCUCUUAGUAAAAGAAAAAGUUAAGUUUGAAGUCAGAAUCUAAUAAUUAAAUAGAUUUUUGUGGAAACCUCAAUCAUUAACUAGAUCUUUGAAAAAAUUUAAAAGAGAAAGCUUAGCGCUAAAACAUAAAGAUCUUUGGCCUGUAAGGUAUAAAAGUCUUUUGUUUAUCCUAAAUCCCUUUAAUAUCCUUCAAAAGAAAUUUAGUUAUAAAACACCCAUACUCCCAUGUCCUCAAAAUCCAAGUACUUUGGCAUUAGAAUGUAAACAAAAUUCCACACCAAAGAAAAGUUAUUCAAAAAACAUCAAAUCUAGGCUCAAAAGAAAAAAGAAGAAUUUUAACUUUCAUAAUCCUUCUAAAAUCAAACCAUCUCUAAAUAUGAAUAAGAAAAGAAAAAUUAUACAAAAAAGAGAGACCUCCAAAUUCUUUAAAGAGACAGAGUUGCUCAGCGCACAGAUAACUUUCAAAUUCCAACCCCAUCUAAUUAUGGACUAAAAACUAUAGAUGAUAGUACAAAUCAAAUGACUUGUUAUUCUGUUAAGCAACAAUGAUUAGAAUUUUGAAAUAAAGUACAAAGAAUAUUACAUUUUGAAAUUCAAAAUAUUAUUCUUAACAAAAUUCUUCAACCAGAUGAAAUCAAAAAAAAUACUUGAAAAUCUUAGUGAAUAUCCUAUGAUAGAUUGGUGCUGGCCAAAGUUAAGUGUUCCAAAUAUAAAUAUGAAUCCUUCUGGCAUUAUUAUUAGAUCUUUAUAUAAAAGAUUAGUUAGACUAGCCUCUAUAGACUACAACUAUUCUUUAGACAUGUUUUCAAAAUUAGUUUCUACCAUCUUAAAAGAACUCAGAGAUGAUAAAGAAAAAAUAGAUAUGCUAAUCUAUAGUGAAAUUGAAGAAAAAAAUUAACUAAAAUUAUUUAUCUUUUUCAAAUUUAUUAUCUCACAUACACUUAAUUUUCAGAUAAAGAUGGCAUCUUAAAAGAUAAACUUAUAGAGAAAUUUGAUAUAGAAGACUAUAUCUUAGUUAAUUAUAUUGAUGUUUAUUGAGAAGCUGCAAGAUCAUCUCAAAAUUAUAGAUAUUGGUCAGAUGAUAGAAUAUGGGUUAUAACUGAUUUAGCAAAUCAAUCUAAUAUUUUACUAAAAAAGAAAGGAAAUUGGGACAUCCUUUUAAACCCAAAAAAUUAUCCCAAUCAAAUUCAAAAUAAAGUGCAAAAUAUUUUUGGAAUAACUAUACCAUAUUCAAAUUCAUUACAUAAGUGGUAAAAUAUAUAUAUUUUCUGCAUUUCAUAAGUUCAUCCUCCAUUUCUUUCGCUCAUCUGUUCUCUACCUAUCCUGGAUAAGUAGAGGAAUAAAGAAAAAAGAUUUCAUUUGAGAGUAUCCAAAAUGUAUCCAUAAAAUUUUAAACCACUAUCAGACAAUGACCUUCUGCCAUCAUUCAAAACUAAAACAGUACCAGAAAAGAAGAGAAAAAAUAUUAUGCUUCCUUCUUCCAAGAUGAUUAAUUCAAAACUUAGGAUCAAACAAUGGCUCUCUGUUAUCAGAGAAUCCAAAGAAACAGAAAAAGCAAAAUGUGACCCUCCAUCAAUCAAUUUAACUCAGAUAUCAACAAGCAGCCAUAAACAACCAUCACCAGAAGAUAAUGACUUGACUCCCCAUCAACCAUUCAAAAGAUUCAAACUCUGAAGUAUUCAAGCUCGAAUGAAAGGAUCCAAAGAGAAUCCAAAGAUGUCUUAUAAAAAUAGAUAUGAAUCUCUUCCUCCACAUCUCCUCUCAUUCUUCACAUCCUAUUUCCUACCAAACAAAUAUCUCCAAAUGCCAUCUCGGGGGAAUCACCGAAGACAUUCUCAUUGGCACCAUCCUCAUUGCCACCAUCACCAUCAUUCUCAACGACACCUUUGCCAUUCUCCUCAUCAAAGACUUCAUUUUUGCUCUUCAGUCACUAUCCAAAUUCUAAUGACCAAUCCACAUCACCAUAUCACUAUUCAUGUAUCAUCAUCAUCAUCAAGCAAUUCUUUUCAAUCUCAAGAACAUCAUUCAAGAUAUACUCCUCCACUUGCCCGAACUCCACCAGUUCGACAACAAAACCAUUCAGAGAAUCAGCAUUCAGCAACCAAUUCUCCUGUUCACCAGCAACAACAUCAUUCACCAGAAGUUCAAUAUUCAACAAUCCAUCAAUAGCUAGCACCAUCCAUUCCUCUAAUUUCUUCUGAAUUUGAAGAUGUGUAUAGAGACAGGCCAGGAUGUAGAAGAAGCACACCACCACUACAGCAGUCAAAGCAAUCAAAUGCCAGCUCAUUAUCCAGUCCUAAGACUCCAAUGUCCAAAAGACAGCACAUAUGGACCGAUGAUAUCUACUCACCAACAUCAAGUGAAAUUCAGAAGCAAGUUUUCAAAAAGAAAAAGAAAUAGCCAAAUAGGAAGACAAGCUCAAUUAUUUUUCAUAAAAAUCUACAAUAAUAUGGUCCCCCUACCUCACUCUUUGCCUACAAGAAAACAGCCAAAAAAAGAUGCUCCAUCGAUAAAGUUGCUUUAUCACCAAGAAAGUUGCCUUACUUCACCAAUAAGAAAUUAAUAUGCUUUAUCCCCAAGAUGUUUCACCAACAACAGCCAGAUGCUUCUCCAGCAAAAUUGUUUCAAGUCACCUCAUCACCGACAGAGUUGCUUCACCACCAAGAAAGUUAGCUACUUGUUAACUACUUAGCCAGUAAGUUACUUUAGCAUAAAAUAGAUUCGCCAGGCAAGCAAGAUGACUUUACUUCAGCAUCAAGUUGCUUCAGCGCCAAGCACUUCAAGCCCAAGCAAGAUGCUCACCCCCAGCUUCUAUAAGAAGACCCCCAAUACCAGCAUUAAAGAACAAGCCCUGACAAAUCUUGACAUAAGUCUUGGUAGAGUUUCACGAGCAAUUCUGAAGCCAGUGGCUUUCUUGGAGAGCUUAUUGAAGAUCAUAUGCCAGGUAGAAGUUACAAGCCAGAGAGGAAGUGUUUCACUAAAUAAUUCUUCUUUCUCCUCCUAUCUUGUACCUUUGUAUAUAUCCUUCCCUUGAGUCCUUAUACAGUCCCAUCCUUGUGUGUGUUUUUUAGUCCUGUAUAUAAGUGUGAAGUUCGUUCAAGAGUCCGUGUCGGAGAGAAGCAAGCUUCUACAAACUAUCUCCACCUUCUGUAUAUACUGUCUCUGUGUUUCUUCACCCUGUAAGUUCUUCAUGUUCGUGUGUUCUUCAUCGGUACAUAUCCAUGCAUGAGUUUGUUUUAAUGAAGUCUUAGUUACUUCAUUUCUUCGUUUCUUUAUUUGUUUCUGUGUUACUUUGUUUAAAUAUUAUUUUAAAUACUGCUUACUUCUCAUUUUCUUCAACGUCGCAUGCAUCUUGCAUUCAUAAAUAUUAUUCAUUACUAUUUACGAAAUUACUAUUUCACAAAAUACUAUUUGCAUAAUAGAAGUACUAUUUACAUUCAUACUUCUUCAGAUCCUUCCAUAUUUUCAUCAUCCACCUGCAUGCAUGAUUUCAAAACCACUAUUUUAAAAAACUAUUGCAUUACUAUUUGCAUACUAUUUUUAAAAAAAAUUAUAAAAAUAAAAAUUAUAAAAAUAUAAAAAGUUAUAGUAAAUAGAUAACUUGAAUGAAGUAAGUAGGUAACUCGCAUAUUAAAAACAUAUAAAAAAUUAAAAUUAAAAACCACAUAAAAAAUCAAAAAUCAAAAAUCAAAAAUCAAAAAUCAAAAAAAUAACUAACCUAUAGGUAACUUAACUAGUAAGUCACCUAGCUAACCUUAGGAAGCCUUAGUGUCACCCUUAGGUAACCCAUAGCAUCAUCUUUAGAAAACCCUUAGAUUCCUUAACCUAUAAGCAACCUUAAGGACAACCUGUAGAGUGUUCAUCCUGUUCACCCCAUAGUAAGUCCACCCAUGGUGUCCAUCCAUAGUAAUGUCCACUCCAUGUCCAACCUUAGAUAUCAACUAAUCCUAGAGUCCAACCUGUGUCCAGUCUUAGGUGUCCACCCUUAGUGUCCAAUCUUAGUGUUGUCUGACCAGUGUCCAAUCCAUAGGUGUCAUCCAUAGUGUCUGACCUUAGAAACCAGUCUUAGAUUUCACCAUCCACCCAUAGGGUCUGAGUUUAGAGUCCACCUUUAGGUUCACCCUUAGGUUCACCUCUAGGAGAUCCAUAGUCCUAUGUCUACCCUGUGUGUCUACCAUGUAGAGUGUCUAAAGUGUUUAGGAUCCACUAACCCUUAGUGAGUCCACUAACCCUUAGUGAGUCUUAGAGGGUCCUAGAAUCUUAGUGAGUCUUAGAGUCUAAGUUGUAUAUUAGGAGAGUCGUAUAGUGUCUAGAGUCCGAUCUAGUCUUAGAGAGUCUUAGAGUCUAGGUUUAGAAAGUCUAGUUCCAUUGAACUAUGUACUAUAUUUGUAUCAUAGGAGACUUCUAGCUGUGAAGGUUCACAUACCUGAGCUACAGUCUUUGAUGGUAUUAGUUUAUAAUCAUAGUUAGUCUGUAAUCUGAUAGUGGUAUGUUGAUGGGCCUUACUCUGUUAUCUUAGAGUAAGCAAGAUAUUACUUAUAGGUUACAGCAUAUAAAUCUUAGGGUUAGAGUUAGCUGUCUGAGCACCUAGGAAGGUUUAACCUAUAGUCUAUUAGUAGUGUCUUGGCGGGUCUUACUCUGUGAGUAAGAUUCUACUCUUAGAUUUCAUCUUAUAAGUCCUAGGUUAGGAGUCAAGCCAUAGGAGGACUCUGAUUUGUGGUCUGUUAGUGAUGUCUUGGCGAGCCUCACUCUCUGAGUGAGUAAGAUCCUGCUCAUAGAUCUUAUCAUUAAAUUUUAUUGGUUAGAAAUAUCACGGUUCUUUUCUUAACCAGGAAGCUCCCUCAGAGUCGAUCCUUGGGUGCCCACGAUAUCAGAGCUCAUGUCAUGUAGGCCUUGAUGCUCAUCAGGUUUUGUAGGUAUUAGAGCCUAUGCUUUGAUACUUAUAUGCCUACGAGUUGGUAUCGUCAGGUCUUGUUAGUAUGUCGGGUCGUUUUGGUAUCAUCGGUCAUUUUGAUAUCAGAGCUCGGAGAGGGAGAUAUAGUAUGAGUCAUAAUUUUUUAAUUUUUUUAUUGGAAGUCAUAUAUCUUUUGCUGUCGUAGGUUAAUAACAGAACCCGAGGAGAGAGAAGCAGUUCAGAAAGAUCGAGGUUUGAUGAGCAGUAGGGGCAUCAAAUAAGAUUACUCAGAAAACCUAGGCUUGGUCUAGAGAGAGAACCAAGGCAUUUUGAUAAGAACAGAGAUUAAUGAGCAAUAGAGGCAUCAAUCAAGAUUACCUAGGCUUAGUUCGAUGAGCAUAAGGAUUGUAUAACUGACAGAUGAUUUGAUGAUGGAGACUCAGAUGUACCUUCGGGUGUAUGAUUGCUUCAGGGCAUGGCAUUGUCGAUGAAGGCAAAGGAGAACCGCUACAGACGCAGACAGUAAAGACCGCAAAGAAGAUUACCUUUGGCACCUAAGUUGGGUAUCCGUCUCAGGCCUGAAGUUUCAGAUCCUCAUAUGUUAAGUCUUCUAAGAUAGGUAUCUUUUCUUGACUGCUUACUGAAAUGAUAUUGUUAAGUCUCCUAAGAUAAGUGUCUUUUCUUGAUCUUCCUUUACUAACUCUUUCAACCCUUGAAAUUAUUAUCACGAAGUGGUAGCAAGGAUCACUAACAUCUUUUAGGUAUUGAAUCCUUUACUAAUUUUUUUUUUUAGACGUUCUUUUAUACUUGAGUCUUUUAAGUAUUUUUCCAUGCUUUGUAUAGAAACUAACAAGAGUCAACAUAUAUAGGUAUUUUCUUCUAUCUUUAUAGUUAGGUACAUUCUUUAUAUAUUCUUUAUUCUUUCCAUUCUUUUAGUUGCGUAAGCAACUAGAAACUUUAUUCUUUAUUCAUUCUUUGAUUCUUUAGUAUAAUCUUUUCUUUCUUUUAAACCCAAUAAGGAUGAGUUUCCUUUCAAGAUCCUCUUCAACUAGUUCUUCUUCACAAGGAGAAGGUUCUGACAAGCCUUUAAUAGAACUAUCUGGUAAACAGUUAGACAAAUGGAUAAUUCCAAAGGUUCCUAGGAGUUUCAUUUAUAAAUCUACAAACUGGUUGUUACCAGACAACAGAAUCAAAACAAUAGAAUUCACAAUCCCUAUAGAAAAUGAGCAUAAAUUAAUCCCAAUCUUGACAUCAGAAAUAAUAAAACCUGCCCAAAAAUCCAAGUUUGAAUUCAUUCAUAUAGGAUUAGUUCAAGUAGCAGUAAAACCAUUGAUCAAAAAAAGAAUUAAUAAUGCUAUCCUUCUAUGUUUAAAAGAUGGAAGAUUCCUCGAUUUCCAAGAUGCCCUUUUAGGAAUGGUUGAAUCUAGUUUAUUCGAUGGUCAAAUCUAUUUCAAUUGCAAUGCAGAUCUUACCAUUAAGACUAAGGACAAAAAUAUUCUUAGAAGUUUAGAAUUAGAGGUUAAACUAGAUGGAUUCAAUAUGUUACCAGGAUCAUGUCCAGUUAUGGCCAUGAUUAAGAUAUACUACAAAACAUUAAACACAUUGGAACAUAUAGGAGUAGUAAACAAAAGAACUCUAGGUUCUACAGACUACUUUCAGAUAGAUCCAAGCAAAGGAAAUGUGUUUGUCCCAAGAACCUUAGUUUGGGAUCAAAUUAAUCUUCCUGAUGAUUGGUUACUAAAAAAAUCAGUACCAACUGUUAGAAAAGAACAAAGUAAAUUGGAUACAAUCAUUACAAAUUCUGAAGGAGAUGUUUCUAUUAGAUUUCAAAAAUGAUUACAGCGAAGUUCAAGUUACAGGCUAGAACCCUCACAAGUCCAAAUAAACCCAUCUAGACAUAGUUGUUCUACUUCUUCACCCUCAAAAUUAAGUAAUGCAAAUUUUGAUCCAAAGAUUCCCCAACCUAGAUAUGAAGAACUUCAAUCUCCGCCUACCUCAUCUACUUAUUCUCAAAUUGCUGAUAGGAAAGACCCAGAGUUAUAUGUAAUUGAUAUUGAUUUUGAGCCAUCUUUCUUCAUUCUUUGAUUCUUUUGUACAUUCUUUUUUUUCUUUUAAACUCUAUAAGUAUGAGUUUCCUUUCAAGAUCCUCUUUAACUAGUUGUUCUUCACAAGGAGAAGGUUCUGACAAGGCUUUAAUAGAAAAAUGGAUAAUUCCAAAGAUUCCUAGGAGUUUCAUUUAUAAAUCUACAAACUGGUUGUUACCGGACAACAGAAUUAAAACAAUAGAAUUCACAAUCCCUAUAGAAAAGGAGCAUGAAUUAAUCCUAAUCUUGACAUCAGAAAUAAUUAAAUCUGCCCAAACAUCUAAGUUUGAAUUCAUUCAUAUAGGAUUAGUUCAAGUAGCAGUAAAACCAUUGAUCAGAAAAGGAAUUAAUAAUGCUAUCCUUCUACGUUUAAAAGAUGGAAGAUUCUUUGAUUUCCAAGAUGCCCUUUUAGGAAUGGUUGAAUCUAGUUUAUUCGAUGGUCCAAUCUAUUUCAAUUGUAAUGCAAGUCUUACCAUUAAGACUAAGGAUAAAAAUAUUCUUAGAAGUUUAGAAUAGAGGUUAAACUAGAUGGAUUCAAGCAAAGGAACUCUAGGUUCUACAGACUACUUUCAGGUAGAUCCAAGCAAAGGAAAUGUGUUUGUCCCAAGAACUUAGUUUGGGAUCAAAUUAAGCUUCCUAAUGAUUGGUUACUAAAGAAUUACGUACUAGCUGUUNNNNNNNNNNNNNNNNNNNNAGAUCCAAGCAAAGGAAAUGUGUUUGUCCCAAGAACUUAGUUUGGGAUCAAAUUAAGCUUCCUAAUGAUUGGUUACUAAAGAAAUUAGUACUAGCUGUUAAAAAAGAACAAAGUAAAUUGGAUACAAUCAUUACAAAUUCUGAAGGAGAUGUUUCUAUUGGAUUUCAAAGAGGAUUACAGCGAAGCUCAAGUUAUAGGCUAGAAUCCUCACAAGUCCAAAUAAACCCAUCUAGACAUAAUUGUUCUACUUCUUCACCCUUAAAAUUAAGUAAUGUAAAUUUUGAACCAAAGAUUCCCCAAUCUAGAUAUGAAGAACUUCAAUCUCUGCCUACCUCACCUACUUAUUCUCAAAUUGCUGAAAGGAAAGACCCAGAGUUAUAUGUAAUUGAUAUUGAUUUUGAGCCAUCUUUGUAAAUGGAUUUAAAAAAAAUCCUUUAGCAAUCCUUUCCAAAAAAUAGAUGAGUAGAUUACAAAUAGAUAUUAAACCUUCCUAAAAAUGACUAGGAAAGAAAUAUCGUUCUCUAAAUGGUAUACACUUAUAAAAAAAGAUCCAAAAGACAUCAAUAUGAUUUUAAAAAAUGGUAAAAAAAUAAAAAAUCCAGAACCAUCCAACCCAAAAAUCAUACUCUCUUGGCAAGAUGGAAAAGAAAGAGUCAUUGAAAAAAUAUAUCCUCCUCUUCACGAAAUUAGAAUACCAGUUAAAGGAACCCAAAUAACAGCCUCACCAUUCAAAAUAAAGAUAGAUCUACCAGAAACUCCAAACGAUAGAGACAUUAAAAACAUUAUAGAGCAAAAUAAUUUUACAAAUCAAAAUCUUAAACUAUAGGUGAUCAACUAAUUAGAGUAGAAGAAAUAAUUAAAGAAGAAAAAUUUAGAGUCCAAGAAAAAAUCUCUUUAUCCAUUUUUAAACCUUUUGAAAUAAAUAAAAAACAUUCAAGAGAAUUAAAAACUGAUAUUAUGGAAGAAAUAAACAAAAGACUCCAAACUGUAGAAGGAAUUCAAAGAGUAGAAGAUACCCCAGAAUAACCUAUUAGACCUAGAACAAUAGCUACCUAAACCCAGCAAAUUUCAUCUUCAUCUGAAAGUAAAAUUUUUAGUGAAGAAGAACACCAAAUAAAUAAGAUUACCAAUUGGAAUGGUUAUCCUAGGAAGAUGUAUUACCCAAGGCCUACCCUUCUAGAUUUAGUCCUAGAAGAAAGAGGACAAAUAAUCCAAAACCAAUAUUCGGCUAAUACUAUCUAUGAAUGGAACAUAGAUGGGAUAACCGAAAUAUAGCAUCCAAAAUAUACUUCAGGAGAUGACUAUGGUAGCAAAUACUUAUAAAAUUAAAAACACACCUGAUCAUGCUAUUAUUCAAAAUCUUGUAGCUGGUUUCACUGACCAGUUGAAAGAUUGGUGGGAUCACUACUUAGAUGAUGUAGAUAGGAAUCAAAUCCUUACUGCAAUUAGAAAAACUGCAGAUGGAACAAUUCUCAAAGAUGAGGAAGAAACAGACGUACAGAAUGCUGUUCCCACUCUCAUCUUUGCAAUUGCAAAAUAUUUCUUAGGAGAUCCAUCAAAACUAAAAGAUAGGACUACAGAAAUCUUGACAAAUCUAAGAUGCAAAAAAUUACAAGAUUUUAGAUGGUAUAAAGAUAUCUUCUUAACAAAAGUAAUGACUAGAGAAGAUUGCAACCAACCUUUUUAGAAAGAAAAAUUUGUUGCAGGUCUCCCUACUGUGUUCUUUGAGAACAUAAGAACUAAACUUAGAAAUCAAAAUAAUGGUAGAAUUCCUUAUGAUAGAUUGACAUAUGGAGACCUAGUUAAUAUCAUAAAUGAGGAAGGAUUACUACUUUGUAGUGAUCUAAGACUCAAAUAAUAAAUUAAAAAAGAACAACUAAAUUCUAAAAAAGAGCUAGAAAAUUUUUGCGAAUAAUUUGGUCUUCAACCCCUUAAAACUCAAAAACCUAAAAAACUUUGUAAGGACUGCUACAAAGAAAGAUCUUUUGAAGAAAAAUCAAAAUCUCUGGCAAAGGGCAAGAAAACCAAAUUAUCUCAAUACAAACCCAAAAAGCCCAAUUGGCCUAGGACAAAAGCAUCACCACUAAUUUGUUACAAGUGUGGAUGAAUGGGACAUUUUAGUCAAAACUAUAAGGUAAAAGAAAAAAUAAAUAAUUUAAAAAUAGAUGAAUCAGACCUUCUAAAAUCAAUAAAAAAUUAACUAAAAAUUUUACUCCUAGAAUCAGAUUCGGAGUCUGAGGUCUCUCAAGAGUUUAAAGAUAGUGUUAAAUUAUCCUCAAAAUCUAAAGACAAAAAAGACACAUGUGUAUUUACAAAAGAACAAGAUUUAUUACUAGAGUUUAUUGAUAAAAUAGAAGAUCCUGAACAAAGAAAAGAAUAUUUAGCUAAACUCAAAGAAACUAUAAAAGAAGAAGAUAAUGUAAAAGAAAUAAGAAUAACUUAUAACCUAAAUAAUAUUUUAAGAAGAUUUGAACCACCAAAAGAGAAAAAAAUAACCAUUUAAGAACUUCAAAUAGAAAUCAAUCUUUUAAAAUUAAAAAUUGAACAAAUAAAAGAACACCUUAAAAAUUUCAAAGAUAAAAGAUCUAUAAAAGGUGAUAUAGAAAUUCUAAACCAAACAAAUAUGCAAAAAUGGUACAUCAAAAUAAGUCUUACCAUAAAAAUGAAUUUAAACUCAACACAAUAGCACUAAUAGAUUCCAAAGCUGAUCUAAAUUGUAUUCAUGAAGAAUUAAUCCCAACAAAAUAUUUUGAAAAAAUAAAUAAAAAUUUAAGAACUGCUAGUGGUUCAAAACUCAAUAUAGACUAUCAAUUAACAAAUACCAAAAUCUAUAAUAAUGAUAUUAAUAUUCAAACUUCAUUCAUUCUAGUAAAAAAUCUAAAUCAAUCAGUAAUUUUAGGAACACCAUUUCUCAAUUUAAUUAAGCCAAUUUAUAUAGAUGAUGAAGGAAUUAAUGGAAAAAUUUUAGAUCAAGAUUUACAUUUUCAAUUCAUUUAAAAUUUCUUUCCUUCCUUCUCUACAAAUUUUCUUUCCUUCUUAUUAUGACCUUUCCUAAAUGAAGAAGAGGAAUAUAAAUAUAAAUUCCAUAUGAGAGUUUUUUCAAACCCAUCCACAAAUUUUGACCAAAAGAACUAUCAGAAAGAGACAUCAUUUUAUACAGGUAUAAAAUUCUUUACUCUUUCUCAAAGAAAACCUUCAUCAUUCCCAACUUCCACCUCAAAAUAAUAUCAUCUGAAGAAGGAAAAAAAGACUAUGCUAAACCCUUAUUCCAAACAAGAGAAGGAAAAAAAAGACUACGCUAAUCCUUCUCCAAGCAAAUAAUAUUAGAUGUCCCAGAAUUAUCUCUUCAUUAGCAGGCAGCAAAAAUUCCUUCCCAACAGAUGUUCCAUCUAAAAUAUUUCACCAUCAAAAGUUGCCACCUCAUCAGCAAAGGUACUUCACCAACAAGUUACUUUUAAGCCACUCCACCAACAAAGUUGAUUGUCACUCCACCAAUAAAAGUUGAUUCUUCACCAAGUCACUUCCACAAUAAACAGAUGCACCACUGACAAAAUACUGCACCGACAAGAUAACUAACCAGAUGCUUCCCUAGAAAAGUUAUUUCUUCACCGACAAGUCAUCUCACUACCAACAAAGUUGUCACAUCACCAGCAAAAGAUACUUUAUCAACAAGUUACUUCAACAUCGACAAAGUUACUUCAUCAAUAGGCCAUUUCACCUACAAAAUUGAUUAGCCACCAAGUUACUCUAGCUCCAAGUUGCUUCACCGCCAAGCAAGAUAUUCACCUUUAGCUUCUAUAAGAAGACCCCCCUUGCCAUUAUUGGAGAAUAAACCUUGGCAAGCCUUGACAUAAGUCUUGGUAGAGCUUCACGAGCAAUCCUGAAGCCAGUGGCUUCUCUGAAAAGCUUAUUGAAGAUCAUAUGUCAGGUAGAAUUUACAAGCUAGAGAGAGUGUGUUCCACUAAAUAGUUUUUCUUCUUUUCCCUAUCUUGUAUCCUUGUAUAUAUAUAUCCUUCCCUUGAGUCCUUAUACAGUCACAUCCUUGUGUGUGUUUUUGAGUCCUGUACAUAAGUAUAAAGUUUGUUCAAGAGUCCGUGUCGAAGAGAAGCAAGCUUCUGUAAGCUAUCUCCACCUUCUGUAUAUACUAUCUUUGUGUUUCUUCACCCUGUAAGUUCUUCAUAUUCGUGUGUUCUUCAUCUGUACAUAUUCAUACAUGAGUUUGUUUUAAUGAAGUCUUAGUUACUUCAUUUCUUCGUUUCUUUGUGUUACUUUGUUUAAAUAUUAUUUUAAAUACUGCUUACUUUUCAUUUUCUUCAUCGUCGCAUGCAUCCUUAUUUAUAAAUACUAUUCAUUAUUAUUUACGAAAUUAUUAUUUCGUAAAAUACUGUUUGCAUAGUAGAAAUACUAUUUGCAUUCAUACUUCUUCAUACCCAUCCAUAUUUUCAUCAUCCACCUGCAUGCAUGAUUUCAAAACUAUUGCAUUACUAUUUGCAUAUUAUUUUAAAAAAUAAUAAUAAUAAUAUAAAAAUUAUAAAAAUAUAAAAAGUUAUAGUAAAAAGAUAACUUGCAUGAAGUAAGUAGGUAACUUGCAUAUUCAAAAAUAUAUAAAAAAUUAAAAACUAAAAACC